ACGGAAGGCAGCAGUGGGGAAUAUUGGGCAAUGGGCGCAAGCCUGACCCAGCAACGCCGCGUGAAGGAUGAAGGUCUUCGUAUUGUAAACUUCUUUGAUCAGGGACGAAUAAAUGACGGUACCUGAAGAACAAGUCACGGCUAACUACGUGCCAGCAGCCGCGGUAAUACGUAGGUGACAAGCGAUAUCCGGAUUUACUGGGUGUAAAGGGCGUGUAGGCGGUUUUGCAAGUCAGAAGUGAAAUUACCGGGCUUAACUUGGGCGAUGCUUCUGAAACUGGUUAACUUGAGUACUGGAGAGGAUAGUGGAAUUCCUAGUGUAGCGGUAAAAUGCACAGAUAUUAGGAGGAACGCCGGUGGCGAAGGCGGCUAUCUGGACAGUAACUGACGCUGAGGCGCGAAAGCACGGGGAGCAAACAGGAUUAGAUACCCUGGUA
rnacentral:rRNA from 1 species